GGAAGCUGCUCAGAGAGGACCGCAUGCCCAGAGUGUGAGAGUGUGUGUGAGUGUGAGUAUAUGUGGGUUGUGUGUGAGUGCAUGGGUGUUGUGUGUGUGUGUUAUUGUGUGUGUGGUGUGUUUGUGUGAGUGUGAGAGUGUGUGUGAGUGUGAGUGUGUGUUGUGUGUGAGUGUAUGUGUGUUGUGUGUGUGAAUGAGUGUUAUUGUGUGUGUGGUGUGUUUGUGUGAGUGUGAGAGUGUGUGUGUGGUGUGUGUGUGUGUAGGUGUGUGGGUGAGGGGUUGUGGAUAGCGGAGCCUGGGAGGUGGGGUGCA
rnacentral:lncRNA from 1 species